rnacentral:lncRNA from 1 species
GGACAUCGGAACAACAAUCACAGAGGCCAGAGGACCAACGAGCCUGCUGUCCAUGCUGCCGCUGUUGAUGAUGAUGGGGAUGCUGCGGAUUCUCAUUGAUAUACAGGGUUGCAUGUCCCACUGGAAUGUUGAUAUACUGGCUUGCAUGUCCCACUGGAAUGCCGGUCUCGGGGGGUGGGUAUGCAGGCUGUGGCUUUGUGUCUAUUUCAAGGCUGAUGCACCUGGCUUUGAUGGAUCCAUGGCGAUGAUUUAUCUGGAGCUAGAUAUUAUGAAUCGAUCAAAAACCAUUCUGGGAAUUGAAAAAUGAUUAAAGGUAUAAAGUUUGAGAUAUAUUGUGUUCUUGGUUUGGUAUGGUGUUAGACAGCUAUAACUUUAUAGGAAGCACUUAUACAAUUAACAUGCGCAAAUUAGACUUGGUGUGAGUUAAGGACGAGACUUUUCUUUUCACCUUAUUCUAGGGACCCAGACAUGAAUUGUUCUUUUCGAGUUGCGUUUUUGUUCGUCAUUGCGGCAUGAACAUUGGCUGCGCCAUGCGGGCAUUCGCAGUCGAUGACUUGUUCAGAUCAUUUUCAUGACAGGAUACUGAUUAAUGUCUUUGUCAUGCUGAUUAAUGCAUUUUUUUAAAAUUGUUUUUUUUUAAUUUAUAAUUUUUAUUAAAAAUAAAUAAAUCUCAACUACUUAUAAUUUUUUUUUUAUAUUUAAUAUAUAUAAUAAAAAAGAUAAGAAGGAGAGAGGGUCAAGUUUACUUUAACGUGUCAAUGCAGGCCUUGUUUAUCAUUUCUCAACAAUCAAUUCAUUUCCUCGAAUCAGAGUGCACAGUUCAAGUGGCCAAGCUAUAGAAACCAUGUGGCUGUUGGGAAUUGAGGUCCCAAGACAACGACCAUCAAUCAAUCAGUAUCAAUAUUAAUGCAGUAAAAUAUAAUAAUAAAACAGAUUUAAAAUAUAAACAAUUAUAGAACGAAGACACGUGGCUUUAUUCUUGAUUUAAAAUAAAAUUAUAAAACAGAUUCAAUAUCAUACAUGAAACAAAUAUACACAUGAAAAGUUGUUGGAGAUAAAACAACUUACAGCUAAUGUUUGAUGCUGCACUCUUUUAUUAUUAAAAACAACGUAGCAGUUGGCUUAUAUAAGCCUUACAUGAUGUUGAACAGGAAACUUAACAACCCAUGUUUUAUGUGGUAACAAAUAGGAAAUUAGUUAUAAACUUAGUGUACGUGUAGUACUACACAGUAGUAUUUAUUUAACAGAAAUACUUUAACAAUGUCAACAAUCUCAACAAUGCCUCUCCUAAACUAGACAUAGUAAUACUUUCAGUUUAAUCCUGGUACCUCACACACACCCAAUAACUUACGCAACUUCAAAAAUACAUCCAUCUUGAGUGGUUUUAUCAUAAUAUCUGCAAUUUGUUCUUGUGUGCCACAAUGCUUCAGUUCCACAACUUAGGGGUGAGCAAAAAAACCGGAAAAUCGAUUAAACCAAGAAAACCGGAAAAAAAAUAACCGAAAAAACCAAACCGAAAAAAAAAAACCGAUUAAACCGAUUAUAUUUUUGAAAAAACCGGCCGGUUCGGUUCGGUUUCGGUUUUAUAAGCAAAAAACCGAAAAAACCGAACCGAACCGAAACCGACAAAAAACCGGAAAAAACCCUAGCCAAACCGAGCCAAACCGGAAAAAACCGAGAAAACCGAGCCAAAACCGGAAAAACCGAGCCAAACCGGUUUGAACCGGUUUUUGCCCUAAAAAACCGAACCGAACCGAAACCGGUCGGUUUGACCCGGUUUCGGUUUUUUUUUUCAAAAAAAAAAUUCGGUUUUGUUACUUUUUUUGAUAAAAACCAAACCGAACCGAAAAUGAUCACCCCUACCACAACUCCAUUUCUAGUCAGAUCACGCAGAAAGUGAAACCUUACAUCAAUGUGUUUGCUGCGCCCGUGCAUAACUGGAUUCUUUGAUAACUUAAUUGUUGAACUGUUGUCACAUAACACAGUAGUACACUUUCCUUGAGAAUUACCAAGUUUUUCCAAUACUCUCCUCAUCCAUACUCCUUGACAUGCACAAGAUGUAGAUGCUACAAACUCUGCUUCAGUAGUGGAUAAAGUAACCACCGGUUGUUUUUUUAAAGACCAAGAAAUAGCUCCUUCACUAAGUAAAAACACAUAACCAGAAGUACUUUUCCUGUCAUCCACAUAUCCUGCAUAAUCACUGUCUGUAUAUGCCAAUAACUCUUUGUUACCUUCCUUUUGAUAAAAAAAUUCCCAAAUCCAUCGUACCAUUCAAGUAUCUAAGCACUUUUUUUGCAGCUUGUAAGUGUAUCUCAGUUGGAUUUGCCAUAAAUCUACUAAUGAGACAUACAACAUACAUAAAAUCUGGCGUUGUUGCAGUUAAAUACAUAAGACUUCCAACCAACUGUUUAUACACAGUAGCAUUUACUUUGGCUCCUUCUUCAUCCUUCAUUAAUUUAACACCAGGAACAAUGGGAUUCUUCACACUAUUACUUUUUUCCAUCCCAAAUCUCUCCUAAACAUCUUUUGCAUAUUUCUUUUGACUAAUAUAAAUUCCAUCAGAAUUUUGAAGAACCUCCACACCAAGAAAAUAUUUCAUCUUGCCCAAAUCAGUCAUAUCAAAUUCAAGUUUCAUAGAAUUCUUGAAUUUAACAAACAAACUUUCACUAUUACCAGUAAAAAUUAAAUCAUCAACAUAUAAGCUAACGAUCAAAAUUGUACCUUCAUUUCCUGUUUUUAUGAAUAAAGUGUGUUCACAGUUGCACCGCUCAAAUCCUUCUUUGACAAAGUAUGUUUCAAUUCGGCUAUACCAUGCACGAGGGGCUUGUUUAAGGCCAUAUAAUGCCUUUUUUUAAUCUGUACACCUUGUGCUCUUCACCUUUCUUCUCAUAACCUCGUGGUUGCUCAACAAACACUACUUCAUUUAAUUUGCCAUACAGAAAGGCACUUUUGACAUCAAGCUGAUACACAUUCCAGCCAUGUCGAGCUGCUAAAGCAAUCACCAUUCGAAUUGAAUCCCAUCUAGCCACCGGUGCAAAUACUUCAGUAUAAUCAAUACCAUGUUGUUGUGCAUACCCUUUCGCCACCAACCUAGCUUUACAUUUGUCAACUUCACCAUUUUCAUUGAGUUUAGUCUUGAAGACCCAUUUUACUCCGAUUUUCUUCAUCCUUUUAGGCAAAUCUAUUAGCUCCCAAGUUUCAUUUCUUUCAAUUGUGUCUAUUUCCAUUUUCAUUGCAAUUCUCCAUUUGGAAAACUUCACUGCUUCUUCAAAAGUGACUGGAUCAGUGAGUGAGGUGAAUAAAAACAAGUUUUGCUCAGCUUCUUCUUCUGUAAAUUCUCCUCCACUCAUGUAAUCUUCCAUCCAGAAUGGCACUCUUCUGCUUCUGCUUGCUGGUGAGUCUUCUAUAGGGGAACUGUGCAAGUUGUCUAGCGAACCAUCUGUGCUUCUCCCUACUGGUGACCCUGCUGUUUCAGCUUCUGUUGAGUGAGCUGCAAGUGAACGUGAAUUUUCUCUAACAGGAUUGCAUAAAGAUGAGCUGGCUUCUGCACUGGCUUCUGUAUUACACAAAGGUAAGCCAACUUCUGUUUCUUCUUCAUCUUCAUUUCAAUCACGUUCACUCUCUCCUUCAUAGUCAUGUUCACUCUCUUCUUCAUAGCUGUCUCCCCACUCAAGAGUAUCAGAUGCUGAUAUUUCAUUAUUCCCUUGCCAAUUCCAGCACUCAUUCUCAUCAAAUACCACGUCUCUGCUUGUUACUAUCUUCCCAGAUAUUGGAUUAUAAAGUAUAUAUGUUUUAGACUCUUCACUCAUCCCCAACAGCACACAUUGAAAACUUUUAUCAUCCAGCUUCUUUCUCAAAUUAUCUGGCACAUGAACAUGCCUAAUACAUCCAAAGACCCGAAAAUAAUUCAUAUUUGGUUUAACACCACUCCAAGCUUCUUCAGGAGUAAUCUCUUUUACUGCCAAAAUAGGACUUCGAUUAAGCACAUGUGUUGUCCAGUUUACAGCUUCUGGCCAGAAUUUCUUUGGAACCUGUUUCUCCGACAACAUGCUUCUGACCAUGCUCAUGAUGAUCCUAUUCUUGCGUUCAGCCACUCCAUUUUGUUGGGGAGUAUAGGCUGCAGUGAGUUGUCUGCUAAUACCAUGAUCUUUGCAAAAAUUAUUGAACUCAAAGGAUGUAAACUCCCCACCGCUAUCUGUACGCAGACAGCAAAUGAAAGUUCCUGCUUCUUUCUCAACCAUGUUUUUAUAAUUCUUAAAAACAGUGAAUGCUUGAGAUUUUUCAGCAAGGAAGUAUAUCCACACCUUACGGCUAUAGUCAUCAAUAAAGCUUAUGAAGUACCUCUUCUUGCUAUUUGAAAUAGGUGUGAUAGGACCGCAUAUAUCACCAUGAAUCAGUUGCAGCCUUUGAGAUGCUCUCCAUAGACUUCUCUUUGGAAUUGCCUCCCUGUGUUGCUUGCCAACCAUGCAAUCGGUGCAGAUUUUUGAUAAAUCUUUCAACUGUGGUAAUCCUCUGACCAUUUGUUUAUGCUGCAAUAUUCUUAGACCCUUAUAACUUAAGUGUCCAUAUCUGCAGUGCCAAAGAUGAGUAUUGUCUUCAAUGGUUGUUUGAAAACAAUUGGUAGUCUUCGGUGCAACUGUUGCAUGCAACAUAAACAUUCUGUUUGCAGACAUUGUUGUUUGCACAAUAAGUCCCCUCUCUGGAUGAUAGAGUUUACAAACUCCAUGUUUGAUGAAGACAGCUACUCCCCGUUCUUGCAUUUGUCCAAUGCUCAACAGAUUAUUCCUCAAUUCAGGUAUAUAAAAGACAUCUGUGAUUACCUGAAUAAUUCCAGCAAGCUGUAACCGUAUGGUACCCUUUCCCAACACAGCCAUUUUUGAAUCAUUCCCUAGCUUUACAGAUUGCUAAAAGUCUUCAUUAAGAUCAGAAAACCACUGCUUGUGUGCACACAUAUGAUUGCUGCACCCUGAGUCAAGAAACCAAACAUCUUCUCGUCCUGAUUGAUUAUGCUCCAUAUAUGACAUCAACAACAACUCUUCUUUCUCCUCAAGCUCUGCAUAAUUUGCUUCAUUCUCCCAUUUCAAACAUUCAUACUGAAAAUGUCCUAAUUGAUGACAUUUAUAACACUCUAUUAAGGCUUUGUUAAAAACUGGAUUGAUUCUUCCUCUGCCUCUUCCCCGAAAUGCUCCACGUCCUUGACUGCCUCUUCUUCCACCAAAUCUAUUAUCAUAUGUAACUUUCAAUGCCUGUUCAUCUCUUUGGUGCCCAUUCAUCCUCUGCUCAUGGACAAGUAAACUGCUCUGUAAUUCAUCAAUGGUUAAUGUGUGUAGAUUGUUGGAUUCUUCAGCAGAACACACCACAUAAUCAAACCUUGAAGUCAUUGAUCUCAAUAUCUUUUCAAUGAUCAUGACUUGUUGUAUAUUUUCACUAUGAAUCUUCAUCUUGUUGGCUAUGAUGAGUGUUCGGGCAAAAUAUGCAUCAACACUCUCCCCUUCUUUCAUCUGUAGAAUUUCAAAUUCUUUCCUAAGAGCUUGAAGUUGUGCUCGUUUCACUCUUGUAGAUCCCUGGUAUUUCUGCUUCAUGGAAUCCUAGAUAUGCUUGGCUGUGUCUCUAUUGAGAAUUGUUUCCAUAGCAGUCCGAUCAAUAGCUUGAAACAAGUAGUUUUUAACUUUCAAGUCUUUCAGCUUUUGAUCUGCAAUAGAUUGUCGUUGUGCUUUAGUUAUUUCAACUCCUUCAGCUGCAAUAGAAACACCAUUCUCCACCAAGCUCCAGUAUUCUUUUGAGCGAAGAAAUUUUUCCAUAAGCAUGGACCAAUGAUCAUAAUAACCAUCGAACUAAGGAAUUGCAGGUUGAACAAACAAAUUUUCAGCUGCCAUUUGAAAAUAAAACUCUUUGUAUUUAACUCUCCUUAAAAAAUAACUCUCUGUGUUUAAAAACUCACGCUCUCUGUGUUUAAAAACUCACUUAACUCUCAUUAAGAAACUGCAGUUUCUCGUCACUCACUGCUAAAUCCUAUAACCUGCUCUGAUACCAAUUUUGUUGGAGAUAAAACAACUUACAGCUAAUGUUUGAUGUUGCACUCUCUUAUUAUUAAAAACAACGUAGAGUUGGCUUAUAUAAGCCUUACAUGAUGUUGAACAGGAAACUUAACAACCCACGUUUUAUGUGGUAACAAAUAGGAAAUCAGUUAUAAGCUUAGUGUAUGUGUACUACGCAGUAGGAUUUAUUUAACAGAAAUACUUUGACAAUGUCAGCAAUCUCAACAGAAGUCGCAGACACUUAAGUAUCUUUGUUCUUGAUUCGAUUAAUUUUUUCCUUUAUUUUUAUUUGUCUAAAUGUUAAGUCUUUGUUUGGCACCAAGCAUGAUCAAUGACUAAUCAGUCAGUAAAUCACAACACGUUGACACAUGUCCAGUGUCAUGUGGUGUGUGUGUGUGUGUGUGUAAAAACACGUAUACUCAAAUGCUCAUUUUCUUUUACCUCUUCUUUUUUAUUUUUCAUUUAUUCUUCUUCCGCUAUAUCCAAUUUCACCCCAAAUUACGGUCUCCCACUAUAGCUACUGCCUUCAACAUGAAUUUUUUUUAGCACAGUAAAAAAUAUUUAGAAAAAUAAUAUAAUUUAGAGAGUUGCAAAUAAUAUUUGUAAUUUACGAGUCACACAUGUCAUUCACAACGUUUUUAAAUUGCAAAAUUAUUGAGCAUAAGAUUCAAUAAAAAAAAAAGAGAGAGAAAAACCCCGGAAGCAAAUCGAAAUUUCAUUUACCGUUAGUGAUUUUUUGUUGUUGUUGGAUUCAUUUCAUUGAAAUCUUUUCAACGAUAUCGGUAGUGUCGUUAUCGAAGCUUCGUUGUGUCCUUAUGAUCUUUUUAAUUCUUUUGUUUUUUUUCUCUUUCUUUUUUUUUUUUUUAUUAAAUCUUGUAUUCAAUAAUUUUGUAAUUUGAGAUUCUUGGAUAACACUUCGACUUACAAAUAUACAACUCUAUAAAAUAUAUUAUUUUUCUAAAUAUUUUUUGUUUUAUAUUAUUUUAUCAUAUAUUUUUAUACUAAACUAGAGUCCCAACAAAAAAAACUCCUUCAACAUUGGAGGCCAAUUACAAUGAUACGGUAGAAAACCCAUUUUUGAAAACCUACCACAGACAUGAAUAGCAUCUAAGUAGCAAUAACUCUACCCACACAGCGAAAUCAUAAUGCUCCAUGAAUACAUGUUUCUUAUCGAACACCUUACGAGCUUCUUGAAGAAGCCCAGAUCCUGAGCAUAUAGUAAACAGCUUUUGAGGAGGCCGCAGUUAUAGAUUGUUGAAAAUUCUUGUUAUUAAAGACACCCUAAUUCUACUGUAAUUGGAGAGUGCACCGUCCAAUUUAAUACACAAGCCCAUGCUAAGUCUCUAGUCCAUGCCGCAAUAUUAACAGCGUUGCUUGAGCCCAAGUGUAGCUAGAGACAGUUCCCUCUCCGUUCUAAAGCGAAGGACGAACAAGAAUCUGCGACUUAUUUUCAUACCAAAGACGCUAAAAGGAGACAUUAAUGUCUUUCGAGUUAGCAUCACAACUGCUAACAGGGACUAAUCUAUGCAAGUGUCAUGGCCUUUCUCUUCACCAUUCCUAUCAGCAUCGUGACUGCCAUAAGAGACCAGGUAACCCGAUUGUAAGUUUGCUCCCUUUUAAAUCUUAAUCCGAGCUAGAGAUGAAUUAAUUAAACUAUAACUAAAAGGAGUCAGUGUUUUACUGUGGACUGUACUGUGCAGUCCACAGUAAAACACUGACUCCUUCCUUAGGCGUUUUUUAUUUUUAAGGUUAUCUAAGUUUUUUUAGCUGUUUUUUUUAUGUUUUUUGGGAUUUUUUUUUGCUUUUUUCUUUAUUUUUUUAAUUAAUUUUUUUUGUUUAGUUUAAUUUAUUAAUGUUAAAUUUCUUUCUAUUUAGUUAUUAGACUUUCAUGACACAUAUCUCGAGUUUCACGGGUUAACCUGGUAUCACGGGUGAACCCAGUUAAUUCCGGGUUGACCCGUCAAUUUUUUAUUAUUAUUAUUUUCAUAAAUAUUUUUUUUUAAUUUAGUUUGUUAAUGUUAAUUUUUUUUUAUUUAGUUAUCAGACUUUCAUGACACAAAUACUGGGUUUAACAGAUUAACAUGGUUUGACGAGUUAACCCGGAUUUUUUUUCUUUUUAAUUAAUUUUUUUUGUUUAGUUCAGUUUGUUAAUAUUCACUUUUUUUUAUUUAGUUACCAGACAUUCAUGACACAGAUCCCGGGUUUAACGGGUUAACUUGGUUUGACGAGUUAACAUGAAUUUUAUUUUAUUUUUUGCUUUUUUUUUGUUUUUAAUUAUUUUUUUCGUUUCGUUUAGUUUAGUUUGUUAAUGUUAAAUUUCUUUCUAUUUAGUUUUUUUUUCUUCUUAGAGGUUUUUUUUCUUUUAUUUGUUAUUUUUAAUUAAUUUUAUUUAAUUAAUUUAGUUUAUUAAUAUUAAAUUUUUUUCUAAGUAGUUCUCGACUGAUUGAUGGCUUUAGUUUUUUUUUAUGUCUUUGACUGUGAACUGCACAGUGCAGUCCACUGUGAAAAGGCUGAUGUUUUUUUUUAAUUAAUUUUUUUGUUUAAUUUAAAUUGUUAAUGUUAAAUUUUUUUUCUAUUUAGUUAUCAAACUUUCAUUACACGGAUUCUGGGUUUGACAGGUUAACCUGGUUUGACGAGUUAGCCCAGUUAAUUCUGGGUUAACCCAUUAAUUUGUUUUUUUCUUUUUAACUAUCAAGCUUUCACGAUGCAAAUUCAAUGUAUGACGGGUUAACCUGGUUUAAAGGGUUAACCCAAUUAAUUCAUUUUUUUUUUUCAUUAGUUUUUUUUUUCCUGUUGGUUUUUUUUAACUAAUUUAUUAAAUUAUCACACUUUUAUGACACAACCUUGCAGCCAGACCCAUGUCCAAUGUUAUUGGGUCUGGUAUUGCAAUCCAGACACUUUUAUGCUAAUGGUUAACCCAAGUUUAAUGUUAUUAUUAAUAUUAUAAACAUUACUCUUGGAUCAGGCGUUGCAACCAAACCUGAUACUCUUGGGUAUAACUUUGUAAAAAAAUCUAAUACUUUUAGAUCUUAACUAUUUUUAAAAUGCAAAAAAUAAUUGACCCGCAGCAUCGCGCGGGGCAUGUAACUAGUAUGUUCUAAAAUUCUUCAGCUUUAUCAUGUCUAAUUUAGCAUGCCCAGAAAACAUAAUAUUCCAAAAGUAUAAAUCUUUCUCAAACACUUUACAGGAGCUACGAUGAUAACCAUAUAGUACAUACUUAUGAAUAUUAAAUUAUUGACUAAAGCUGCUAAAGUCAAAUUUAAUAGGACUUAAAAAUCUUUAAAGGUUAAAAAAUUCAUUGUUUUAAAUAACAUGUCUAGGUCCAACCGCCCAUAAGCUCAACCUUGAAGAAAAGUUCGAUGUCAUGGGCUCAACGAGCUCAACCUAAUAGACAAGCUCAUCUUUCAUGGGCUCAACCUAUAAAAAAAAGACCAAAGAAAUGGGCUCCGCCCUAAGAAAAGAGUCCAAUGCCAUGGGUUAUUUUCAAUAGACAUAGCCCAUUACAUUGGGCUCUUUCCCUAGGCUUUUUUAUUUUAUGGUCAGAUUUCAAUGAUUUUCUUCUCUUAUCUCUCAAACCUAGAGUUAAUAAAUAACAAAAAUAAAUUUUUAUAUCAAAAUUAGAUUGAAAACAUAUUGAGGGAUCGAAUAUAUACAGGUUGUAAAGUUUGAGAACUAAAGUAAAUGUUUUGUGUGAACUUUGAAAUUAUUAUCUUAUUAUGGUUUUUCUACUUUGAUCCCAUGUCUUUGAAUUUUAAUUAUUUUUAGUAUGUAAAUUUGAUUCAAUUAUCUUAGAGUUUCAUCCAGUUUGAUCCAAGAAUGAUGGAAUUGCACAAAACAAAUUAAGAGCUAAAUUAAAAAAAUAUUAAAUUUUAAACACAGAAUAUCAACGAUAAAAUAUGAAAGAGUGAAUAUCCUGUGUGUGAACAGUGAAAUGACCACAUUUUUUUAGAUUUAUAGUAACAAUAAUAAUAAUAUGGAAGAUGAUUAAACAAAAACAACAAGAAGAAGAAAACACUUUUUUCAUGCAUGAGUUUAUCCCUUGAUCAUUUAAGCCGUGUACAUUUAUAUAUAAAGGCGACUAGUAAUAAAAAUCCCACAAUCUCAAUUCCCAAACAAAUAAGAUAACACCAGUCGAAUUGAAAACACAAAAACAAAAGCAAGCUCAGAGCUUCAUUUAUUACCGCUAUAGUUUAUGCCUUACACGCACAUGCCAUUGGAUAAACCAUAUUAAAAUCUGUAUAUGUUUUGAGGGUAAAACAGAAUAAAGAAACUAGGAAGAGUAUGUAAGUAAUCCAAUAAGAAGAUGCCACGCUCUCCACAAACUGACAUCAUUUUUACUAAUUGUAGCAUGAUAGUAUCCAGUAGAUCACCCACUCUAUCGGGUCAUGCCUUGUCCAACUACCGGAGCCGAUGGAGCCACGGUGCCACUUGGUCCCUGCAAACUCUCUUGCCAACCUGAUAAUUUCCAAAUAAAAAAAUAGAAAAGUUAAUUUCUAAUUUUGCUAACCCAGAUGUGCAACUGACCAAGGAAUAUAAGGGUGAAAUAUAUACCACUAGCCAUAUCGAAUCCACGGUGCUCGAGCUCGCGGUACUCUUGGCACAGGGCGCAAGACUCACAGCAGCAGUGAACCAAACAGUCAUUGCAAGGACUCUCCUCUAACAUGUAUUGCGUCCUUAAUUUGGACCGGUAGAGGCAUGAGUACAGGCAGCUGCAACCAGUGAACCACAUAAGCAAUCCAUAAAUUGCUCCACUCACAACACAAGCUGCAAAAAACCAAAGAAUUCUUUCAUAAAAAUCACAAAUAAUUAUAUAGAAAAAAAAGAAGAAGUAACAUCCAAAAUCAACUAGACACGCGACAAUUGAUUGCUAGCAAAUUAUCAGCAAUCAACAAUAAAGCCUAUGAAUUGAACCACUAUAUUAUUUACUUACGUGUUGUUCCUUUAUCUGUAAUCUCAGCAAUCCGUCCAAAAGUGAUACAUGGACACCAACACGUGAGGCAACCUGCAAUUAAUAGGAACAGGUUAAAUAUAAUAAUAUAGCUAAAGAUUCAUAGCCCAUGUUCUAUUUUUACACGUGGCCAAAACGAAACUAAAAGGCCAUCUCGCCUGUUCAUGAGAACUUGUACUUACAACCAGGGACAUCGGAACAACAAUCACAGAGGCCAGAGGACCAACGAGCCUGCUGGCCAUGCUGCCGCUGUUGAUAAUGAUAUUGGGGAUGCUGCGGAUUCUCAUUGAUAUACUGGCUUGCAUGUCCCACUGGAAUGCCGGUCACGGGGGGUGGGUAUGCAGGCUGUGGCUUUGUGUCUAUUUCAAGGGCUGAUGCACC